UCGAGAUGGCAGUGCUUUUGGCGAAAAAGCCAUUUGUAAGUGUCGGGUUCAAAUGCCGUGCCGCUGGAUUCGAACCAGGGACCUUUACCUUUCUGUGAUGAGCGCCGUGUCCACUCCCCUUCUAAAUUUUGGCGAGACGUAUUUGAUAAUUUCUUCAUCAGAGGAUGUCCAAAAAUCUCAGAUUUACAAAGGGUUAUAUUAUAAUUAUAAGGUUUCUUCGAACCUUGGAUUGAAACAAAAGUGCUGAUGAGGAGGAUAGACUCAUAAAUCUAAAGUAGAGAGGACAACAUGAAUACGGAAAAAAUA
rnacentral:lncRNA from 1 species